rnacentral:rRNA from 1 species
GGGAGGCAGCAGUGAGGAAUAUUGCUCAAUGGGCGCAAGCCUGAAGCAGCGACGCCGCGUGGGUGAAGAAGGAUUUCGGUCUGUAAAGCCCUUUUCUGCGUGACGAGAGUGGACGGUAGCGCAGGAAUAAGUCUCGGCUAACUACGUGCCAGCAGCCGCGGUAAAACGUAGGAGGCAAGCGUUAUCCGGAGUUACUGGGCGUAAAGCGCGUGUAGGCGGUUCAGUAAGUUACCUAUGAAAGCUCUUGGCUAAACUGGGAGAGGUUAGCUGAUACUGCUGGACUAGAGUGAAGAAGAGGAAGGUAGAAUUCCGCGUGUAGUGGUGAAAUGCGUAGAUAUGCGGAGGAAUACCAGUGGCGAAGGCGACCUUCUGGUCUUCAACUGACGCUCAGACGCGAAAGCAUGGGUAGCGAACGGGAUUAGAAACCCCGGUAGUCCAUGCUGUAAACGAUGCAUACUAAACGUUCGUAUUCCGAGAGGGAUGUGAGUGUUGAAGCAAACGCGAUAAGUAUGCCGCCUGGGGAGUACGGUCGCAA